UUCCAGAGGUUCAUGCAGACUCUAUGGCAGUUUCAAAGGAAAGGCCCUGGGGAGUCUCCAGCAGCGCAAGUUCCAUUUUGAUGUUAAGGGCCAAUUGGCAGAGGAGAACAGUGUCAUCUAGCAGAAGUCUUUCUGUGCCCCUCUGGAACUGCAGUUAUGCUCCCAAGAAGUGCCAGUAGGCCUCGCCGGUCAAAACAUGAUGGAUUUGGAAAAGUCUGCCAACGUCACCUUUGAACCAAAAGUGUUUGAAGUGCCUCCGGAGCCAAGCCUAAGAUAUUCUGAAUAUAGAGUAUUCUACGAUGCGUACAGCAUUUGCUUGAGGUAUGCAGAUCAGGAGAGGGGGAAGAGAAGUGGAAAAGGAAUUGCUUUAGAAAUUGCUGAAACAGCCUAUUUUCUCACCUCCAGCAGUUCCUCCACUCCUAUUUCCUAACGUCUAAACUGGGAGAGGAUAAUUUCACGUGGGUAGUGUCUGCACUGAUUUUUGUAACAACACCGUUCUGGGUCUUUAAGCAGUACCUGAAAGCAGCUUGUAUCCAAGAGGGGCUCCUUGGCCUGUCAGUGAUGGGAGGAGGGUGGAAGGGUGACUGCAUUGUCCAUCAUGUGUUGAUGUGAACAGGCUAUGAUGAGACCACAGAGCUGCAGGACUUAC
ensembl:lncRNA